rnacentral:rRNA from 1 species
UACAGAGGGGGCAAGCGUUGUUCGGAAUUACUGGGCGUAAAGGGCGCGUAGGCGGAUUGCAAGUCCGUGGUGAAAUCCCACAGCUCAACUGUGGAACUGCCUCGGAUACUGUGAGUCUCGAGGGUGGUAGGGGUAUGCGGAACUAUCGGUGGAGCGGUGAAAUGCGUUGAUAUCGAUAGGAACUCCGGUGGCGAAGGCGGCAUACUGGACCACAUCUGACGCUGAGGCGCGAAAGCCAGGGAGCAAACGGG